rnacentral:rRNA from 1 species
GACGAACCGUGCGAACGUUGUUCGGAAUCACUGGGCUUAAAGGGCGCGUAGGCGGGCCAUCAAGUCAGGGGUGAAAUCCUCCAGCUCAACUGGAGAACAGCUUUUGAUACUGGUGGUCUCGAGUGGGGUAGGGGCAUGUGGAACUUCCGGUGGAGCGGUGAAAUGCGUAGAUAUCUGGAGGAAUACCGGUGGCGAAGGCGGCAUCCUGGACCGAGAUUGACGCUGAGGAGCGAAAGCUAGGGGAGCAAACGGG